GUCCCUCUGGAAACAUUUUAUAGAAUUGUAACGAUAUAGAGAGCAUUAGCAUGGCCUUGCGCAAGGACGGCAGACACAAAUCAAGAAAUGGUCCUACAUGUA
rfam:Capsicum annuum cultivar Zunla-1 chromosome 9, whole genome shotgun sequence